rnacentral:misc_RNA from 1 species
AUCCGGUUGCGUGAAGCCGGAAAAUAAAAACUGUCAUCAUCUCUGUCGGGGAUGCUGACAUAUAUAGGAAGCCGAAACGCAAAUUGCGAUGCUUCGUUCCUCGCGNNNNNNNNNNNNCGAUCGCCGCAGCGCACAUUUGUUUGAUUGCUGAUUAGAACGAGUCGAAUGUAGUGUUCGCCUUCGAAUUUACGAAGGAGACCCGCGAUGGCGGCAUUCGUACUCAAGAUCAACGGCGGCGAACAUCGUGUGGAUGUCGACCCGCAAACACCUCUUCUCUGGGCCAUCCGCGACGGCGCGGGACUGAUGGGCACCAAGUAUGGCUGC